rnacentral:rRNA from 1 species
GGCGUAAAGGGCUCGUAGGUGGUUGAUCGCGUCGGAAGUGUAAUCUUGGGGCUUAACCCUGAGCGUGCUUUCGAUACGGGUUGACUUGAGGAAGGUAGGGGAGAGUGGAAUUCCUGGUGGAGCGGUGGAAUGCGCAGAUAUCAGGAGGAACACCAGUGGCGAAGGCGGUUCUCUGGGCCUUUCCUGACGCUGAGGAGCGAAAGCGUGGGGAGCGAACAGGCUUAGAUACCCUGGUAGUCCACGCUGUAAACGGUGGGUACUAGGUGUGGGGUCCAUUCCACGGGUUCCGUGCCGUAGCUAACGCUUUAAGUACCCCGCCUGGGGAGUACGGCCGCAAGGCUAAAACUCAAAGGAAUUGACGGGGCCCCGCACAAGCGGCGAAGCAUGCGGAUUAAUUCGAUGCAACGCGUAGAACCUUACCUGGGUUUGACAUGGAUCGGGAGUGCUCAGAGAUGGGUGUGCCUCUUUUGGGGUCGGUUCACAGGUGGUGCAUGGCUGUCGUCAGCUCGUGUCGUGAGAUGUUGGGUUAAGUCCCGCAACGAGCGCAACCCUUGUUCACUGUUGCCAGCACGUUAUGGUGGGGACUCAGUGGAGACCGCCGGGGUCAACUCGGAGGAAGGU